rnacentral:rRNA from 1 species
AUGAUGAAUUCAAGAGAAUUAGAAGGACCGGAGGGUGAUGAACCAGAGUACCAUCCUGAAGAAUUAGAAGGGCAGGAUGGACCAAUGGAAUUGUUUAUUGUACCCGCCGACCCUCCUCGAACUCGGCAGAAACGUGCAAGAGCAACUGGAAAACAGGCAGCAUCUGAUGUUCAUGGAGAUGGAGGAAGUGUACCAACAACACAACAUGCAGAACCUACUGCCAAAGGGGCACAGCCGCAGCCGCAACCUACUACUUCCAAACUGAAGUCAAAGGUAUGGCUUGACUUCACCAAGAUCUCGAAAGAUGGUGAUGAGAUGACUAUAGCUCAAUGCAACCAUUGCGACUCUAAACUGUCGGCUAAAUCGACAAAUGGCACAUCUCAUCUCCUUAGACACAUUGAAAGUAAGCAUAAGGUUGAACAAGCGACAAUGAAUAAUUUUUUCUUGAAAUCUGAAACAAAUGAUGAUGGAACAGCUGCAUUAAAAAAUGGUAGAUUUGAUGCUCAAGUUGCUAGAAAUUCGGUCUCUAUUUAUCUUGUAUCCGGUGCUCAUCCAUUUACAACACUUGAAGAAGAUGGAUUUAGAACAAUGAUGUCUGCUUGUUGUCCACAAUUCAAGUCUAUUGGUCGACACACAAUAAAAAGAGAGAUAAUGGCAAUGUUUCUUAGCCAGAAAAAGGAAUUGAUGGAAAUUAUUUUAGCUGCCCCUGGUAGAGUUAGUUUCACAUCCGACAAUUGGAAAUCUGAAGUCACCAAGCAUAGCUAUAUUUGCAUUACUUGCCAUUACAUAGAUGCUGAUUGGAAACUAAACAAAAGGAUUGUAUGGUUCAAAAAAAUUGAUCCACCCUAUGAUGGACCAUAUAUUGCCGAUGAGGUCCACCUAGCUUUCCGUGAAUGGAGGUUUGAUAAGAAAGUGAUGUGCAUCACUCUGGAUAAUGCAGCCUAUAAUGAUAGGAUGGUGGCUUGCUUGCGUACCCACUUGUCAAAAGGUGCUUUACCUUUGUCCAGUAAAUUCUUCCAAAUUCGUUGUUGUGCACAUAUACUGAACUUGGUAGUUCAAGCCGGUUUGACAUUGAUUGAUAAGUGUGUUGACAAACUUAGAGAUGGUAUAAUGUACCUAAAGGCUUCAAGCACUAGGCUGCAUAAGUUGUAUAGUACUGCUACAACUAUAUUCAACCUUGAAGAAACAAAAAGGUUGAAACCUGAUAUGCCCAUCUGUUGGAAUUCAACCUACACUAUGCUUGGCUGCUGUUUGUACUUUAGAGACGUGCUGCAUUGGUAUUCUGAGAGGGACAGCAUAUUCAAGGUGAACUUUUGGCUAUCCGAAGAAGAAUGGGCCAAGGUAUCUCAUAUGUAUCAGUUCUUGGAGGUUUUCUUCGAUGUAACUACAACUUUCUCAGGAACAAAGUAUCCAACAGCCAACUUGUACUUCAUGAAUGUCUAUCUUGUUCAUUCUGCUAUUAUACAUGCUAGUGCUGGAGUAAAUAGUUACAUGGCUCCAAUGUUGGUAGUUAUGAGGGAGAAAUUCAUGAAAUAUUGGUCUGACUAUAGCAUAUUUCUGUCUUGUGCUGCUGUUCUUGAUCCCCGCAUUAAGUUCAAGUUUUUAGGAUAUGCCUACUCCAAGCUAUAUGAUGGUGAUGAUGCCCUUCAGCGCAUUAAUCUUGUUAAAACUACAAUGACUUCUUUAUUUAAUAAGUAUGGUAGUGGUGUACAUGUCAAUGAAAACUUAGCAACAAGUGCAUCAUCAAGCACGUGUGGACUUGGUGCCUUUUCCGACUAUGAUCAGUACCUGGAAAGCACGAGCUCACAUGAAGAGAGAUCUGAAUUGGAAUUGUAUUUGGCUGAACCUGCGAAGAGGUUGAAUGAAAAUGUCAAUAUCUUGGAUUUCUGGAGUAAGUCUGCAGCUAGGUAUCCGCAACUAGCAAGAAUGGCACGUGAUAUCCUUGCAGUUCCUGUGUCAAGUGUUGCUUCAGAAUCCGCUUUCAGCUUGAGUAAGAAGGUUAUAACCCCGAACCGAAACUCACUUAAACCAAAGACGGUUGAGGCCCUAAUGUGUUUGCAAGAUUGGUAUCGUUGCAAACUGCAGAAAAAAGAAGAUAAUAAGAGAAAGGCAGAAGAAGUGAUUGCGCUAGAUAAUGAUGAAGAUUCAUCUUCGGAUGAAGAAUAG